rnacentral:rRNA from 1 species
GGACUACAAGGGUAUCUAAUCCGGAUCGCUCCCCACGCUUUCGCGCAUCAGCGUCAGCAAAGCUCCAGGCAACCGCCUUCGCCACUGGUGUUCUUCCCGAUAUCUACGCAUUCCACCACUACACCGGGAGUUCCAUUGCCCCCUAGCUUGCUCUAGCCACACCGUAUCCGCUGACCCCGCCCAGUUGAGCCAGGCGAUUUCACAACGGACGUGCGUAGCCGCCUACGCGCCCUUUACGCCCAAUAAAUCCGGGCAACGCUUGCACCCUACGUAUUACCGCGGCGGCUGGCAC